UAGGGAAUCUUCGGCAAUGGGGGCAACCCUGACCGAGCAACGCCGCGUGAGUGAAGAAGGUUUUCGGAUCGUAAAGCUCUGUUGUAAGAGAAGAACGUGUGUGAGAGUGGAAAGUUCACACAGUGACGGUAACUUACCAGAAAGGGACGGCUAACUACGUGCCAGCAGCCGCGGUAAUACGUAGGUCCCGAGCGUUGUCCGGAUUUAUUGGGCGUAAAGCGAGCGCAGGCGGUUUAAUAAGUCUGAAGUUAAAGGCAGUGGCUUAACCAUUGUUCGCUUUGGAAACUGUUAAACUUGCGUGCAGAAGGGGAGAGUGGAAUUCCAUGUGUAGCGGUGAAAUGCGUAGAUAUAUGGAGGAACACCGGUGGCGAAAGCGGCUCUCUGGUCUGUAACUGACGCUGAGGCUCGAAAGCGUGGGGAGCAAACAGG
rnacentral:rRNA from 1 species